rnacentral:lncRNA from 1 species
GAUAUUCACGCUGGUGUAGCUGUGAAAGAUGUCAUUUGCCAUCGUGGACUUCUUCGGCUCGAAGGAAGCUGAAGUUGUACCGGCGUCGUGGUUUGACGACGGUACGUGCUGCUGGCCUGGCGGCAGAACCGAGAGAAUUGUUCAGCUAGCAAAAGCUUCGACCAGGCUCUCAGAAGCAUGGGCGAGGCACGCGGCCAAAGUGAAAGGCCUUUUCUCAACAUAUGAAGCUGCUGUUGAACGCCUGCCUGAGGUACCAUUCACAUCAGACGUGGCUUCCUCUAGUGAUGAGGAAAAUACGAGGCGGCGUGUUACAAAACCGAAGCGGUUUUUGGAUGAGGAGGACGAAGCAAGUCUACCCAAGCAGAGAAAAAGGACGAAGAAGGCGGCGCGCGAAUGCGCAGCGUUUCCGCGGGU